rnacentral:rRNA from 1 species
UACGGGGGGGCAAGCGUUGUUCGGAAUUACUGGGCGUAAAGGGCUCGUAGGUGGCCAACUAAGUCGGACGUGAAAUCCCACGGCUCAACCGUGGAACUGCUGGGCAUACUGGCGUUCUUGAGCCAAUCAGGGGUCGCCGGAACAAACGGUGGAGCGGUGAAAUGCGUAGAUAUCGUUUGGAACGCCGAAGGCGAAAGCAGGCGACUGGGAUUGCGCUGACGCUGAGACACGAAAGCCAGGGGAGCGAACGGG